rnacentral:rRNA from 1 species
UAGGGAAUCUUCCACAAUGGACGAAAGUCUGAUGGAGCAACGCCGCGUGUGUGAUGAAGGCUUUCGGGUCGUAAAGCACUGUUGUAUGGGAAGAACAGCUAGAAUAGGAAAUGAUUUUAGUUUGACGGUACCAUACCAGAAAGGAACGGCUAAAUACGUGCCAG